UCUUUACGCCCAGAUUCAGGUCUGUUUUUUCUUUAGAGAAAACAGUUAAAAGGGAAUCAGGUGUAAAUCCUGAACAGACCCGCUACUGUAAGUUCUGUAAAAGUCUUUAACGUUACUCAUGCCAUUGUCCGCCGUAGCGGAUGAGAAGGCUGUUUAAAGAUGGAACAAGUCAGGAGACCUGCCGGAAUCACAUAGUUUAAG
rnacentral:ncRNA from 1 species